rnacentral:rRNA from 1 species
AGGUGUGAUCAUACCAGCACUAGUGCAUCGGAUUCCAUCGAAACUUCGAAGUUAAGCGCUUGGGUGAGAAUAGUUCUAAGAUGGUCUUGUCUCAUGACUUUUAUAGAUUCGGGAAAGUGGCUUGACACCUCUA